UAAUCGGCAACUAUUUUUAUAAUCGAUUUAAUCGAUUAGUUGUUGCAGCCCUAGUUGCAACUUGCCUGUGUAUGAAAAGUAAUAGUCAUAAAUAAAGUUUUUUGAUUGAUUCCUUGGUGCAUAUAUAAGUCAGCCAGGCCACAGGGGGGCAGUAAUGAGCCUUAUAAGCUGACGUUUUUUUGGCAGAGGUUGCACAACUCAGAAUUUGAGCCAAAAUCGCUAAAAGUCACAUAAAAACUCAGCAAAACUUGCAAGACUUCAAUUCAGCGAGCAUCAAAAGAUUCUUUGGCCUUAAGUUUGUUGGACGCUUACUUUAAAUGAAGAAGAAAGUAAGAAGAUCGGAGGAAGUCUACGCGAGAAAUGAAGUAAGUUGAUGAUUCAGCGGUUGUUUUUGUACUCAAAGUCACAUUGCAGUGUUUUCAUAUUUUUGCAGACGAGACCAAAGAUGGCCGCUAACGUUAAACCGCCUACUCGCCUACGCGGGCCGACAGACGGAAUGUUACCAAGGGAAAAAAGGAAGGCAGAAGUUUGUAAACACUGAAGGUGACAAACCCCAAAGUGAGGUAAUGAUGACUUGUAGAAGAUGAGCCGAAUGAGAAGAUUGGGCUUUCCUGCGCGAUCCUUCACGGACGUCCUCUUUCGCUUUCCUAGAAUGGCUGCCGGAGGCGGGAGCAGGAGGAUGACUCGUGCUGGGGGUGCUCUUUGCUCUGGUCCGACACGUCCAGACCGUCCGGCUUCUCCAACGGACGCUGGGGAUGCAAAGGUGCACAAGUGACGCGUUCAAGACACCUGCGAGGAUGGGACG